rnacentral:lncRNA from 1 species
GUUUUGGAGUGCAGGCGUGAAUAGUCCUUUCUGUCCUGCUUUGAGUACUGCUGUUGGGUGCCUUGGGGGGACCUUAAGGGAGCUCGGAAGUUGAGACGUGGUGAGUGCGAGAUCACUGCCCACAAAGGGGAGGAGCAGGCGGAUGAACAGCCAGAGCUGCAAUGGUGGAUCCUCCUCCAGGGCUGCAUGGGACGACAGAUAGAUGAGGCUCUAGGACGGGCACAAAUGCUACCCGAAUGCAAACCACUCCGGAGAUCUGUAAAAGGACUGGCCCCGGACAGGAAGCACACUUUAAACUAGAGGCGGGGUAAGACUCGUGGGCCAAUCAAGGCUUCCGAACAGAACUGCCAUUCUGGCAAUGAGGCGGGGUCUUCCGGUUGCCUGCUGGAAGUUUGUUUUUGCUCUGCAGGAUUGAAGGGUUCUCCCUAUGCUGCUUUGAGCGCUGCUAUUGGGUGCCUUGAGGGGACCUCAAGUAAGCUCCAUUUUUGAAACAUGAGUCAAAGCCCCGGUGAAGAUUCUGUGACGGUUCAUUGUAUAAUUUAUGAUGAUGAAGAUUGAGUUGCAUUUUGCGGAAAAGAGAUGUUGAGAUAUCUAAGGCAUUGAGAAAUCUGUCAUGCAGACAUGCACACAGGGAGAGGGAGUACCCAAACUGAUGAGAACUUACAGGAAUUGGACCAUCUAAGCCCUUAGAAAGUGAAGUCCACUGUGUCUCAAACAAAGAUCUUCAUCCACAUCUUGAAGUUUGAAGUUUGGCCAAGAAUAUACAAAAUAGAUUCUCUUUCUCAGGAUGGCAAGUGUUCAUGACAUCAAUACUACCCAAGGCUUCAGAGUCAUUGGAUUGCAGGUGUUUCCUCUAUGUUUUAAAUUCAGAACUAUUCCAUCCAUCUUUUGGCAGAAUCAGAGCGCUCGGUGAAGAUUCUGUGAGGGUUCAUUGUAUAAUUUAUGAUGAUGAAGAUUGAGUUGCAUUUUGGGGAAAAGAGAUGUUGAGAUAUCUAAGGCAUUGAGAAAUCUGUCAGGCAGAGAUGCACACAGGGAGAGGGAGUACCCAAACUGAUGAGAAGUUACAGGAAUUGGACCAUCUAAGACCUUAGAAAGUGAAGUCCAAAGUGUCUCAAACAAAGAUCUUCAUCCACAUCUUGAAGUUUGAAGUUUGGCCAAGAAUAUACAGAGUAGAUUCUCUUUCUCAGGAUGGCAUGUGUUCAUGACAUCAAUACUACCCAAGGCUUCAGAGUCAUUGGAUUGCAGGAUUAUGCUUUGUGUUGUCCAAAUCUAUGGGAUAUUUUAGGAUGCAGUGACUUAUGAUGAUGUGCGUGUGAACUUCACUGAGGAAGAGUGGGAUUUGCUGGAUCCUUCCCAGAAAAGUCUUUAUGAAGAGGUGAUGCUGGAGACCUACCAGAACAUCACUGCUAUAGG